AGAAAGGAAGGAAAAAGCUUGGCCAAAUUGGAUAGAAACCAUUAGGGUUUCUUGGAAAAAGUAGCUUCCAUCGGCUAUAAAUGAGUCCUCUUCUACCCAACAAGCAACAACCACAUCCAGAGAGAAGCUAGCUUUCUCUCUUACCUUAAAAACCCAGCAAUUCCGUGCUCUAUUCACUAUUCUCCCCCAUUUUUCCUCUUCUGGCAGACUGUUCUAACAUUUGAUAGAACCUCUGUCAAGCUGCCGGAAACAUACUUUAAGACACCCAUUGUUCUCUUUUUCCCUUUUUCUCAGUUAAACCCUCUUGCAAACCUUUCCUCUCUUACCUUAACGCAUAGCUUUCUCUUUAGUGCUACACUCAUGACAAUUUUGCUUCCAUGCCACAAGCCUCUCAUGCCAAGCUAAAAAACCUAUCUGUAAGCUCUUGUUAUUUUUGUUGGUGAAGGUAACCAAAGUGCUUCCUAAGGCUUCACUAUCCUUUCGAAGCAUUUUUGGG
rnacentral:lncRNA from 1 species